AUUGAACGCUGGCGGCAGGCUUAACACAUGCAAGUCGAACGAGUGGCGGACGGGUGAGUAAUGUAUGGGAAUCUGCCUGAUGGAGGGGGAUAACUACUGGAAACGGUAGCUAAUACCGCAUACCAUCAGAUGAACCCAUAUGGGAUUAGCUAGUUGGUGAGGUAAAGGCUCACCAAGGCGACGAUCCCUAGCUGGUCUGAGAGGAUGACCAGCCACACUGGGACUGAGACACGGCCCAGACUCCUACGGGAGGCAGCAGUGGGGAAUAUUGCACAAUGGGCGCAAGCCUGAUGCAGCCAUGCCGCGUGUAUGAAGAAGGCCUUCGGGUUGUAAAGUACUUUCAGUAGGGAGGCGUUAUCUACAGAAGAAGCACCGGCUAACUCCGUGCCAGCAGCCGCGGUAAUUC
rnacentral:rRNA from 1 species